UGUUUCUUUUCAUGUUGUUAUUUUGCUUUAUUUCCUUGAAACUACAUUAUGGAGUGAAAACAAUCUUUAAAUUACUAUAUAUUUUUGAUAAGUUAAGUAUGUGUGCUUUGCCACCCUUCGGUUACUGCCUACACAUACAUCUACUGAUUUUUUCCCCUUAAUGUGCAAUCAUUACUAUAGCUUGGGAAACUGAAAAUGUAAUAUUCCCUGCUAACUGAAGGUGAUACGAAUAAAUCCGGGAAAGCAAGGCUUUACUAUUGUUAUAUCAGCUUACUGUGAGUGGAUACCUGUGGGGUAUAUGUGUAGAUAAAUGGGUGUGUGUGUGUGUGUGUGUGUGUGUGUGUGUGUGUGUGUGUGCAUGUGUGGGGCUUAUUAACGUAUAGUAAGACAUCUCAUCCUGUUUGCAUACAGGUUUCCUUUCCCCUUGCCCACCAAAGCCAUUCAAGCAAGCAUUUAUUCUUUAUUUGUUUUGUUUUGUUUUGUUUUGUUUUGUUUUGUUUUGUUUUGUUUUGUUUUGUUUUGUUUUGUGAGACAGAGUUUCUUUGUAUAGUCCUGGUUUUUCCUGUCACUCACGCUUCAGAAACAGGCUAGCCUCAGAGGUCUGCCUGCCUCUCUCUCAAGGGAUGGAAUUAAAGGCCUAUGCCACCACACCUAGCAACAGAGGAGGUCAAGGAACAGCUGAUCUGGGGGCUAAAGCGGGCACACGAUAAGGCACGAAGACAGAACUACCACUACCACCACCACCACCACCACCACCACCACCACCACCACCACCACCCCUGGCAGUUCCUUUUCCUCAUGGCUGGAUCUCUGACACUUGUGAGAAGUUUCUGCCUUGGAGCGAAGGCCCGACGAAGCGAGCAAUGAAGCUGUGUGUCUCCAUUAGGAAGUCAGAGACGUGGAUGGAAGACCCCCUCUUGGCGCCUUGGCGCGUGGCGUGGCGUCCCGGGUUCUUGGCACCAAAUGUCCCGCGCGACCUCUGGCCUGCAAGAAUACGCGGGAACACACGAAUCCUUCUGUAGCCAAAAUGCUUAUAUUUAUUAAUAAUAGAGAGGGCGGCUGGGCGCCAGCAUGGCGCGGCUUAUAUACACCCUAGCGUGGCGCAUCCACACCUGAUUGGUUGCUUACCCAUGAUCUCAUUAGGCACGCCCCGGAGUGGGCAAAGACCUGGCACGAAGUCACUCUUGCACAUCCUGAAAGGAAGUCGGCUGGCGCGGUGGAGGCCAGCGCCAUCUUGUGGUGGCGAAUGUUAUUGCGGCCCCCUACAGUUAGAUAAGGUCAUAAACUACCACGUGGGUGAUAGAAACUGAACCCAAGUCCUCUGUGAAAGCAACAAGUGUUCUUAACUCCUGAGCCAUCUUCCCAGCCACUUACCAUUCUUAACGAAAAGUUUAGAUUUUCUAUUGACUCACAGUAGAUCAGAGAUCCAGUAAGAAGUAAAAUAAUGUGUGAAAUAAACUACCAGCAGCAUAUACUCCAAGAUGUAGGAUUCUUACAAGUUCAAAAUAUUUAGAAACCAAAGAUCAGCCCAAAAUAGCUCAAAACGGACCUCGAUUAGAAGAAAAGAGACAGAAUUUCACCUACAGGAAGAGACAUAAAACCAAGAUAUGGCCUGUGAUGGUUUGUAUAUGCUUGGCCCAGGGAGUGGCACUAUUAGGAAGUGUAGCCUUGGAGUAGAUGUGUCACUGUAGUCAUGGGCUUCAAUAUCCUUGACCUAACUGCCUAGAAGUGAAUCUUCCACUAGCAGCCUUCAGAUGAAGAUGUAGAACUCUCAGCUCCUCCUGCACCAUGCCUGCCUGGACGCUGCCAUGCGCCUAUCUUGAUGAUAAUGGACUGAACCUCCGAACCUGUAAGAAAGCCCCAAUUAAAUGUUGUCCUUUAUAAGACUUGCCUUGGUCAUGGUAUCUGUUCACAGCAGUAAAACCAUAACACAAUAAUGAAUCAGAUAAUCAAUUUUUUUUUGGUAAGAAAAAGUAGUUUUUACUUGAAAGUAAAUUUAUAACUAUAUGGCUUUAUUCUUAGAGUUUAGGGGGAAAAAAGCAAGUAAGUCCUAUCAUGGUCCAUUAUCCUCUGUGAGUCCUUUGAAGAGCCGCCCAGCAGGGACAUUACACCCUCAGUGGGAAGACCAGAGCACAGCCUGCUAGGUAUUAAAAAAGAAGUAAAUACCAGGAAACUAGGAACAUUUCACUCAGUCUAUAUUCCACCUCUGUGACAUCAAUCAUUGGCCUCAAGAUUUACCCUCUGCCUG